UACGAAGGGGGCUAGCGUUGCUCGGAAUGACUGGGCGUAAAGGGCGCGUAGGCGGUUUAUUGAGUUGGGCGUGAAAUUCCUGGGCUUAACCUGGGGGCUGCGCUCAAUACCGAUAGACUUGAGUGCGGAAGAGAGUCGUGGAAUUCCCAGUGUAGAGGUGAAAUUCGUAGAUAUUGGGAAGAACACCGGUGGCGAAGGCGGCGACCUGGUCCGUGACUGACGCUGAGGCGCGAAAGCGUGGGGAG
rnacentral:rRNA from 1 species